rnacentral:sRNA from 1 species
AUGAUUGGGUUUAGGGUGAUCAAUGUUUUUGCUGUGCUAUUGGUGAGAAUUUGGCUAGUUGGGUAUGAAACUGUGUAUGAAAUUUUGGAGCUUGAAAUUUUGCUAUGCUUCAUUUAAACUCUAUAUGAAAUUUUGAAGCUUGACCCAUUCUGGUUUUUGCUGUGAGUUUUUUUAGAAUUUGGCUAGUUGGGUUAUGUGCAGAACUUUUACUGAUGAUAGUGUGCUGACUGAUUUGUCUAAUUAGCUGAAAGAAAUAGCUGUGGCUCUGAAAGAAAUCAACCGAGGCUCGGUGGAUUACACAACUCUUUACAAUGAGGUCAUGGCUAUGAUGGCGGAUGGGUAUAGCGAAGACAUGCUUGCAACUGUGUUUGAUCACCUUUGUGAAAAUGAGAAGGCAACACGAGAAUUUCUAGCCAAGAAUGCUAGGUUGAGAAAGCUAUGGUUGGAUGGUUUUUGUUCGCACAACUUUGACUUGUCUGUUUCAUGUUGAUUGUGGCGGUAGCUUUAGGAAUUAACUGUUGUUGUAGUACUAGUAUUGACCUGCUAUUUGUAUUAAAUAUGUAGUCUUUUGUAUUAUUGGGAUGAUACAAUAGCCCAAAUUAUGUAUUCGUACUGUUCAAAUAUCACGAGUAUGUAUCAUUUUUGUACACCAUGGAGGUGUAAUGCCACCUGAAACGAUUGAUGUGGCUGUUUUUAUAUAAAUAUUAUGGGUAUAUUUCAAUGAUUAUUUUUGAUGUUAAAGUGAAUGAUUAUUUUUGUACUGUUACAGAUAUGUCUAGGCAAUGCAGGUAUUUGAAUUUGAAUGAUUAUUUUUGAUGUUGAAGUGGAUGAUUAGUUUUGUACUGUUACAAAUUUGUCUAGGUAAUGCAGGUGUAGGAAUUUGUAAGGCAUUUCAUAUUUUCCGUAAAAUGAUCCACAAAAAAAAAACAUGGGAAUUGAGUUUCCAUAAAAAAAGUCUUACAUUUUUCGUAAAAUAUUUGACCGAAUCAAACAUGAGAAUUGAUUUUCCGGAAAAUAGAAAGCAUUUUCCGUAAAAUGUUUGAACGAACGAAACACCAGAAUUGAUUUUCCAUAAAACGAAUUCCAAGACAGCCAAACAACCUAAGAGCAUUUUCCUUUUCCGAAAAAUAUUUUACGCGAAUCAAACGGACCCUAAUAUAACAACUUUUAUUUUAUUCUUUCAUGACAGCUAAACGUAAGUGUAUAAUAGUUGUGAUCCCUUUCUUAGCUUGUAAGUAUUCAUCUAAGACAUUUAAUGCAUUACAUGACUCUUUAGUUUUUAUAGUCUUGCAUCUCACUUUUGCUAUAUAAAGAGGUGUCAUUAUUUGUAAAAGAGGCCACAAAUAACAAAUACAACUUUCUUACUGCAUUUAUAGUUUAUCUUUCAAAUGAUCUUUUGUGUUAGAGCGUAUGUUGAGUUCUUUUCAUGUUUUUGAUAGGAGAUAAAGUUUUAUUUUGCCUUUUAUUGUGCAAAUAUUUUCUACUGGUGUACUGUUUGUGUUAAAGUACAAAUUUGGGGUUUUCAGGCAUGUACUUCCCAUUUGGUUAAAUAAAAUACAAAUUUAUGGGAAAAAGAAAUAUCAAUAGUUUCACCCAAACCAAAGGAUUGGGUUCUUAAUCCUAGCAUGAUCUCUUGAAGACCACCUUGUAAAAACUCAUCUUAUAAGAUGAGUUUUAAAUCUUAAAACGGAAUUCCAACUGAACCAAACCAUUUGACCCUAACAAACCUUCUCUAAAUCUCACAUGAUUUGCUAUGAGAGGGUAGCUAUAUAUCCCCUAUAAAAAUUAAAAAAAAAAAAAAUACUAAAAUUGUCAACCUCUUGUGCCAAGUUAUUUCAAAUAUGAAGUAAUUAAAAAAUGUGUUCCCAUUUCAAAGUUGGGGGGGUUGAUUACUUGUUUGAUGUCAGUGAAAUAACGCUUGGUUAAUAAUAGCUGUAUUAAGUUAUUAACCAAUCCACGAACUGGAGCCCACAAUAACCAAGAAUUAGGUAAGCAAUAAACGCAAUCAAUUAUCAAACUCAACCAAAUUAACCCAGCUUUCAUGAUCAGUAAUCAGUCCUCUGUCAAAGCAAGGAAAAAAAAUUGAGUUAAAUUUUUAAGUCAUUUCAAUUGUAGCAGAAAGCGAGUUUGCAUCUUUUACCAUUACAAUUGUACAAAACAAAAGCAAAAAGGAAGGUGAGAAGAACAGUACUGGUAAACAAAAUUUGAGGGGGGACAUCGGAUUAGCCAACACAUUAUUUUCACCCAUUCCAGAACUUUGGCAUAGGAAUUUUCAAUACCAAUCAACAGAUAUUCUAGCCUUAUUAAUCUCAUAGGUGUCAGUGUGGAAUUAUUUUUAUAGUUCUUAAAGGUGUGCUUCCACACCACUACCACUCAUGUUAUGGAUCCAUUGUGGAUUCCAACACAUACAUAGUAAUACCGUGACACAAAUUUGGUACAUCAUAAAAUACACAAUUUGGUACGUCAUAAAAUUCUUUCAAAUCAUAUAUAAAAGUGAACUACUCCAAUAUCAAAUAAUUUAUUCUCUUAUGAAAAUUAUUAUAAAUAAAAUUCUCUAUAGCAUUAUUUUUAAAAGAAUAAUGCAACAACUAUAAUAUUAUGUUAUAUACCACUCCCCCAAAAGAAUCACACUCCAACCGUAGGAAGUGCGCACCAAUGCAUUAUUCUCCUGCACCCCACCAACCACAUGGUUGAUGCAUUUUUACGGUUGAACUAUUUCGGUACAGAGAGUACUUUCCUUCAAAGCUAUUUACUUAAAUAUUAUGAAAACGAUUUUUUUUUUUUUUUUUUUUAAGCAUUUUCCUUUUCCGAAAAAUAUUUUACGCGAAUCAAACGGACCCUAAUAUAACAACUUUUAUUUUAUUCUUUCAUGACAGCUAAACGUAAGUGUAUAAUAGUUGUGAUCCCUUUCUUAGCUUGUAAGUAUUCAUCUAAGACAUUUAAUGCAUUACAUGACUCUUUAGUUUUUAUAGUCUUGCAUCUCACUUUUGCUAUAUAAAGAGGUGUCAUUAUUUGUAAAAGAGGCCACAAAUAACAAAUACAACUUUCUUACUGCAUUUAUAGUUUAUCUUUCAAAUGAUCUUUUGUGUUAGAGCGUAUGUUGAGUUCUUUUCAUGUUUUUGAUAGGAGAUAAAGUUUUAUUUUGCCUUUUAUUGUGCAAAUAUUUUCUACUGGUGUACUGUUUGUGUUAAAGUACAAAUUUGGGGUUUUCAGGCAUGUACUUCCCAUUUGGUUAAAUAAAAUACAAAUUUAUGGGAAAAAGAAAUAUCAAUAGUUUCACCCAAACCAAAGGAUUGGGUUCUUAAUCCUAGCAUGAUCUCUUGAAGACCACCUUGUAAAAACUCAUCUUAUAAGAUGAGUUUUAAAUCUUAAAACGGAAUUCCAACUGAACCAAACCAUUUGACCCUAACAAACCUUCUCUAAAUCUCACAUGAUUUGCUAUGAGAGGGUAGCUAUAUAUCCCCUAUAAAAAUUUAAAAAAAAAAAAUACUAAAAUUGUCAACCUCUUGUGCCAAGUUAUUUCAAAUAUGAAGUAAUUAAAAAAUGUGUUCCCAUUUCAAAGUUGGGGGGGUUGAUUACUUGUUUGAUGUCAGUGAAAUAACGCUUGGUUAAUAAUAGCUGUAUUAAGUUAUUAACCAAUCCACGAACUGGAGCCCACAAUAACCAAGAAUUAGGUAAGCAAUAAACGCAAUCAAUUAUCAAACUCAACCAAAUUAACCCAGCUUUCAUGAUCAGUAAUCAGUCCUCUGUCAAAGCAAGGAAAAAAAAUUGAGUUAAAUUUUUAAGUCAUUUCAAUUGUAGCAGAAAGCGAGUUUGCAUCUUUUACCAUUACAAUUGUACAAAACAAAAGCAAAAAGGAAGGUGAGAAGAACAGUACUGGUAAACAAAAUUAGAGGGGGGACAUCGGAUUAGCCAACACAUUAUUUUCACCCAUUCCAGAACUUUGGCAUAGGAAUUUUCAAUACGAAUCAACAGAUAUUCUAGCCUUAUUAAUCUCAUAGGUGUCAGUGUGGAAUUAUUUUUAUAGUUCUUAAAGGUGUGCUUCCACACCACUACCACUCAUGUUAUGGAUCCAUUGUGGAUUCCAACACAUACAUAGUAAUACCGUGACACAAAUUUGGUACAUCAUAAAAUACACAAUUUGGUACGUCAUAAAAUUCUUUCAAAUCAUAUAUAAAAGUGAACUACUCCAAUAUCAAAUAAUUUAUUCUCUUAUGAAAAUUAUUAUAAAUAAAAUUCUCUAUAGCAUUAUUUUUAAAAGAAUAAUGCAACAACUAUAAUAUUAUGUUAUAUACCACUCCCCCAAAAGAAUCACACUCCAACCGUAGGAAGUGCGCACCAAUGCAUUAUUCUCCUGCACCCCACCAACCACAUGGUUGAUGCAUUUUUACGGUUGAACUAUUUCGGUACAGAGAGUACUUUCCUUCAGAGCUAUUUACUUAAAUAUUAUGAAAACGAUUUUUUUUUUUUUUUUUUUUGCAUACUUCUCAUUAACAUUAGUUUGAUUAUGAGCAAUCUUGGUCCAUCACUGCACCACUUUGAUUAUGUGCCUAAUUGCCUCUCACAUUGCAUACAUAAACAACUAUGAAUAAAAAUAAAUUUUUUUUUAAAAUCUUUAUUCAGAUUUAUCGCUUAGUACAUAGGGUGACAGUGACACACCUAGCGAAAUUACUUGUGCCAUUAUGUGUUUCAGUUUUUGUUGCAGUUUUAAUUAUCCCUUGUCCUACUCUCUCGAUAAAGUCAAAAAUCGUUUCGAAUUCACAAGGCAGAACACGUGAUUCUCUUGAAUGAUUGGUGAUAGGUUAAGGAAGGGCAAAUUUGUACAUAAGCGUAAAGACAAUUAACUUACGAACUAAGAAAUUUGAUCAAACCAACAAAGAGGACCAAAGAGUGACAAGUGUUGAUUUUGGUUUGAAAUUAUUCUCAAACAUAAAUUCCAUCACUAUCUGGUCCAAAACGAAAGUGAUGGGAACCCAAUACCACGCUCCCAAACACAAUAUUCAAAAUUCCAUGCUUUCAUUAUUCAAAUCAGGAAGGCAAAAUUAACCACCCCACUCAUCAUUUUUUUUUUUUUUUUUAAUUUAAGAAAAUUACACGCUAAGAAUUUACACGCUAACAAUUGCUGCAAGCAAGUUUGUUAGUUUCAAAUCCCAACUUUAAAAAAAAAUUGGCAAUCCAUUAAAAUUUUGAAGGUUUAAAUUGGUACACAAUUUAAAAUUUUACAGUUCGAUAAACUAAGGAUACCAUAAAAUUUAAAUUGAAGCCAUCACUAUAAGAUGAGAUUUCAAUUUACCAAUUACUUAAUAUAUUAAAAAAAAACGUAUAUUUGAUAUUUACUUCAUUACAGGUUUCAAAGGUAAAUUUCAAAAAAUAAUACAUUUGAUAUUAGAACCACAAAUCCAGACACAAUUUCCUCCAUCCAAAACGUUUAUUAGUUUUCAAAAUAAUUAAUUAUUCACUGAUUAAACAUAACUAUAAUUAAGCUAAAAAUAGAAUAAACCGUUUGCACUUUUAACCGCAAGAGUGAAAAAAUAGGAACCGCAUAAUUAACAGAACGAGAAAAACACAAACACAAAGAAAAUCUCAGAUCUAAAAUAAGAAAGAAGAAGAAUAAUCAAUUAUUUACUACAAAUGAUAACAUAGAGUAAUAAUCGUCUCAAACCAUAGCCAAAAUAAAAUCCAUCACCACGCAUUAUGUAUUUUCUACCGUCUGUGCACCACUACCAAACUCUCUCACCUACAUAAAUAUCAUAUCACUAAAACAUACCAAACUGAACAUAUAAGCAGAAAAAGCCAUACGACGACUCAACAUCGCGACCAAUGA